CUGACGUUAGCGGCGGACGGGUGAGUAACACGUGGGUGACCUACCUAUAAGACUGGGAUAACUCCGGGAAACCGGGGCUAAUACCGGAUAACACAUGAAACCGCAUGGUUUCAUGAUGAAAGACGGUUUUGCUGUCACUUAUAGAUGGACCCGCGGCGUAUUAGCUAGUUGGUAAGGUAACGGCUUACCAAGGCAACGAUACGUAGCCGACCUGAGAGGGUGAUCGGCCACACUGGAACUGAGACACGGUCCAGACUCCUACGGGAGGCCAGGC
rnacentral:rRNA from 1 species